rnacentral:rRNA from 1 species
GACGAACGCUGGCGGCGUGCCUAAUACAUGCAAGUAGAACGCUGAAGCGAGGAGCUUGCUCUUCUUGGAUGAGUUGCGAACGGGUGAGUAACGCGUAGGUAACCUGCCUUGUAGCGGGGGAUAACUAUUGGAAACGAUAGCUAAUACCGCAUAACAAUGGAUGACCCAUGUCAUUUAUUUGAAAGGGGCAAAUGCUCCACUACAAGAUGGACCUGCGUUGUAUUAGCUAGUAGGUGAGGUAACGGCUCACCUAGGCGACGAUACAUAGCCGACCUGAGAGGGUGAUCGGCCCAACUGGGACUGAGACACGGCCCAGACUCCUACGGGAGGCAGCAGUAGGGAAUCUUCGGCAAUGGGGGCAACCCUGACCGAGCAACGCCGCGUGAGUGAAGAAGGUUUUCGGAUCGUAAAGCUCUGUUGUAAGUCAAGAACGAGUGUGAGAGUGGAAAGUUCACACUGUGACGGUAGCUUACCAGAAAGGGACGGCUAACUACGUG